CAGAGGGGGCAAGCGUUGCUCGGAAUCACUGGGCGUAAAGGGCGCGUAGGCGGGAUGGCAAGUCGGUCGUGAAAUCCUCGGGCUCAACUCGAGGGGGUCGGCCGAUACUGCCGUUCUUGAGGGAUGCAGAGGAGACUGGAAUUCCCGGUGUAGCGGUGAAAUGUGUAGAGAUCGGGAGGAACACCGGUGGCGAAGGCGGGUCUCUGGGCAUUCCCUGACGCUGAGGCGCGAAAGCGUGGGGAGCAAACGGGGAUUAGAUACCCCGGUAGUCCACGCGGUAAACGAUGACGACUAGGUGUGGGGGGGUUAAGUCCCUUCCGUGCCGCAGCUAACGCAUUAAGUCGUCCGCCUGGGGAGUACGGCCGCAAGGUUG
rnacentral:rRNA from 1 species